rnacentral:rRNA from 1 species
GCAGCAGCCGCGGUAAGACAGAGGAUGCAAGCGUUAUCCGGAAUGAUUGGGCGUAAAGGGCUCGCAGGCGGUUUCUUAAGUCUGAUGUGAAAGCCCCCGGCUCAACCGGGGAGGGUCAUUGGAAACUGGGAAGCUUGAGUGCAGAAGAGGAGAGUGGAAUUCCACGUGUAGCGGUGAAAUGCGUAGAGAUGUGGAGGAACACCAGUGGCGAAGGCGACUCUCUGGUCUGUAACUGACGCUGAGGAGCGAAAGCGUGGGGAGCGAACAGGAUUAGAUACCCCGGUAGUCCCUGUCUCUUAUAC